ensembl:lncRNA
GCUGUCUUUAUUAGAGCCUUGUCUGGCAGUAAUACUGAAAAAAAGUGAACUUAGAACAGAUGGUGGUGGCAGCCCACGGCUUUUUUUCCCCUGUUUUUCUUUAUUUCUUUGAUAUUUUUCUUCUUUUUUUGUGCGAGCGCUGUGACUCUUGCUUUUUCUGUGGCAUGGAUAACAUCAAUAAAAGAGACAGUAGGGAGAGGAAGAAAAAAAAGAAAUAUACAACUUAUAUUACACUGUGUUAUGAACAAAAUAUAAAUCUAUAACUCUAUGUUAUAUUUACAUAAUUAUCUUUCUUGAAUUUUCAAGUUGAGAUGGUAAGAUAUUUUUUUGUUUACUAGUAAUAAUUCUUACUUUGUUUUGAGCUCCACUCAUGACUUUGAUUGUCUUAAAUAAUAUCAUCAUCAUCAUUUUCAUUGUCUUGAUAUGGGGACGGACCUUGCCAGCAGGGAUGACUGAUCUCUUAAUGCCCCACCCAAACACCCACCAUCCUGAUAAUGUUUAAAAAAAUGGACUUAUUCAUUUAGUCCCCUCUUUCCAGCAUGGGGUUCAACAAAGGUGUGAUAACAGGGGUGACUAUACAGCGAAAUUAAGACCCAGAAGCUUGUUAUGUGGCAUGUAGGAAACAUCUAUAAGCGAGAAUGUGACAUAUAACAGCACACCUGAAGAGCAGUCAUGGCUCCUGUAGCAUCGUGUGGAGCUCAAACAAAGCAAAGGGCUCCUGAUGAAGAUACUGCAGACCCACACGCGCACACAGUGGAACAGCCUUGGUGGAUCGCAGUAAACACUGCUUUCUCAUGAUUAAAAAAAAGUCACUGCUAUCACAAAAAACAAAAACAACAACAACAAAAAAAACCGUCUAUAUACAGGAUUUUUUUUUCAAGAAACAAAAAGGACAGCAUAGGAUUUGUUUGGUUGUCAUAAUAAUCUCUUCAUUUGAAAUGUGCCUGUAUGUGGUGUAUCUGCACAUUUGGGAUGUACUGAUAUAUCGGUUGAAUAUACUAUCAGCCAAUACUGACCUCCGUAGACAGGUAUUGGCAAAUAGGUUUUAUUUGGAUUAAUUCUUUAAAAUAUCCAAUAAAAGACUCUAAAACUGGUGUAUUUCUUUAAAAAGAAUUUCAUUGCUUCACUGGUAAAAAAGGGGUGUUAAAUCCCCCCCCCCCAAAAAAAUACAUAUAUAUAUAUAAAUGGCUGAUAUAUCGGCCUAAUAUCGUUAAUGGCUGAUAUUCAAUCCUGCUGAUUUCAGGAUAUUAACAAGACAUCCUUUAUUCUGAAUGUUCAAAAAAUGUGUGAUGAAAAUCUGCAAGACUUUCAAAUAGGUCAGUAUAUUUUUGUACAAAAGAAAGACACUGAAAAAAUAUUGGUAUUGGCUGUCAGCUACAUUAUAAACAUCAGUGUUGGUAUUGGCCCAGAAUUUCAUCGGUGCAUCCUCCAGUGCGUGCACGUGUGUGUGUGUGUGUGUGUGUGUGUGUGUGUGGAUCCAUGCCAAAGAUGUUCCACUGUGUCGCAGUGAGGCAGCCAAACUAGUAAACGGGGACGGGUCUCUGUUCACAGAAAAAGUGACAAACCAAAAACAUGUAAAAAUUUAAAAAAAAAAGAAGAAGAGGAAAUUCACAUUAUACAUUAUGAUAAUCAUUACAAAUAAAAUUAUAAUAACAAUAUAAAAUCAUGUUCUUCUUCUCUGACUGCACAGAGUCUGAGUGCUUCUUAGAAAUGGGUUCGGACAUGAUAAAAAGGGUUACGUCUUCAGUUCGGACGAAGGCUGGCGUCCAUGUCUAUCAGUCCAGCUCACCCGCCCGCAGAGGAUUAAUAGGAGGGGAUCAAAAAUAAAAUAACAUAAAAUAAAAUAGCAAAACAAAGCAAGGUAAAAUGACAACUUUUUGUUUAGAUCUAAAUACCUACCAGCUAAAUAGAAUAAUGCUUCAUUGACUGUUUCAUAUGGUCAUAAAAACCCAAUAAAGAGGAGAAAAAUAAAUUAUACUGUACAUAACUUACUAAACUUAGGAAACGUUGAC